GAUGAACGCUAGCUACAGGCUUAACACAUGCAAGUCGAGGGGAAACGACAUCGAAAGCUUGCUUUUGAUGGGCGUCGACCGGCGCACGGGUGAGUAACGCGUAUCCAACCUGCCCACCACUUGGGGAUAACCUUGCGAACGUAAGACUAAUACCCAAUGACGUCUCUAGAGGACAUCUGAAAGAGAUUAAAGAUUUAUCGGUGAUGGAUGGGGAUGCGUCUGAGUAGCUUGUUGGAGGGGUAACGGCCCACCAAGGCGACGAUCAGUAGGGGUUCUGAGAGGAAGGUCCCCCACAUUGGAACUGAGACACGGUCCAAACUCCUACGGGAGGCAGCAGUGAGGAAUAUUGGUCAAUGGGCGAGAGCCUGAACCAGCCAAGUAGCGUGCAGGAUGACGGCCCUAUGGGUUGUAAACUGCUUUUAUAAGGGAAUAAAGUGAGCCUCGUGAGACUUUUUGCAUGUACCUUAUGAAUAAGGACCGGCUAAUUCCGUGCCAGCCGCCGCCGUAA
rnacentral:rRNA from 1 species